GUUUCAUGCUCGGCUUACUCAUUUAUUGUUAUCUCGAGAAGCGAAGUGGUGGUUUAGAGUGCAAAAGUAGUGAAGUAGUGAUAAAUAUGAAAUUUCACUCGAUUUUAAGCGCUGUGUUGCUAGUUGCUAUUGGUGACGGCAUUAAUGGUGCAACACCAAAUGUCGCUCUGUCAUGUUCACCGGACUGUCGUCUUGUAUUCGUGAAAUGUACUGCAAAGGAGGCCCUGCAGUGUGGAGCUGGUGAAGUAGCAUCAGACGCAGAUCCUUCGAUAUGUCAAUGCUGUCCGUAUUGUCAAACGGAAGCACCGAAGUGUUCACCGGAUUGUCGCCUUGUGGACAUGAAAUGUACCUCAAAGGAGGCUCUACAGUGUGGACCAGGUGAAGUUGCAUCAGACCCAGAUGCUUCAAUAUGUCAGUGCUGCCCAUACUGUCGAAAGGAAGCACCGAAGUGUUCACCGAACUGUAGUCUUGUUAAAUUAAAAUGUGUAACAAAGGAGGCCCUAAAGUGUAGACCAGAUGAAGUAGCAUCAGACGCGGAUCCUUCGAUAUGUAAAUGCUGUCCAUAUUGUCGAAAGGAUGCACCGAAGUGUUUACCGAACUGUAGUCUUGUUAAAUUAAAAUGUGUGGCAAAGGAGGCCCUAAAGUGUAGACCAGAUGAAGUAGCAUCAGACGCAGAUCCUUCGAUAUGUAAAUGCUGUCCAUAUUGUCGAAAGGUAGCACCGAAGUGUUUACCGAACUGUAGCCUUGUAAGAAUGAAAUGUACUGCAAAGGAGGCCCUACAGUGUGGACCUGGUGAAGUCGCAUCAGACCCAGAUGCUUCAAUAUGCAAAUGCUGUCCAUAUUGUAGAAAGAAACCUAUCCAUUCUUCACC